GACGAACGCUGGCGGCGUGCUUAACACAUGCAAGUCGAACGGACAGGCGCUGCUCUUGUUGGGUGCUCGAGUGGCGAACGGGGGAGUAACACGCGUGUAUCCUGCCCUUGACAUUGGGAUAACUUUAGGAAACAGCGGCGAAUACCCGAGAUAAUCUCCUGCUGCAUGGGGGGGGAUGGAAAGUUUCGGCGGUUGGGGCUCGACUCGCUGCUUAUCAGCUUGUUGGUGGGGUAGUUGCUUACCAAGGCUUUGACGGGUAGCCGGCCUGAGAGCGUGACCAGCCACCUUGGGCCUGCGAUACGGCCCAGACUCCUACGGGAGGCAGCAGUCGGGAAUAUUGCGCAACGGGCGGAAGCCUGAUGCGGCAACGCCGCGUGCGGGAUGCCGGCCUUCUGGUUGUAAACCGCUUUCGCCUGUGACGAAGCGUGCGUGACGGUAAUGAGUAAAGAAGCACCGGCUAACUACGUG
rnacentral:rRNA from 1 species